GAUGGCGCCCAAACCUGUAGGCUGUGGGCGGUGCAGGAGGGAUCCGGAAGAGACGAGGCAGGAAGAAACUCCUGGUCCUUUCGCUUUUAAGGAACGUGGCACCUAGACAGGAUGGAGAAAUGACAUCUGGAGAGGGGAGUUCACACAUCAUAUACACUGAAAGCUGCCCGUCAAAAGAGUUGCAGAACCAGGACUACAGCCCUUACAUCUGGACUGCCAGUACGAUGCAGUCUUCAAUCUGGUCCAGAGUUUGAGCCCCACCUCUGGAGUUGAGUCCUGCCUUCUACCUCAAUGUGACAAAUGUUGGCCAAUGGUAUGUCAGCAGCUGUGAUGCAAGCAGAGGCUUGGUAAAUGCCUGCACACUGGGGUUUGUCCUCUUGGAAUGUUCAUUCUUGGGAGCCCUGAACAACAAUGUAAGAAGUCUGGCUAUCCUGCUGGAGAGAACACAUGGAGAGAACACAUGGUGGGAAGAGACUAAAAUUAUGUGAAGAGAGUCAGGCCAGCCAUCCCAGCUUCUCUGUUGAGCCCAGCCAUCAGCCAACCUGCCAGCUGAAUGCAACCAUAAGAGUGAUCACCAGCAAGAUCACUAGAAAAACCACCUAACUGAGCCCAGCCUGGAUUGAACAAUCACAAACAAAUAAAAUGGUUAUUGUUUUA